UACGUAGGGGGCGAGCGUUAUCCGGAUUUAUUGGGCGUAAAGCGUGUGUAGGCGGUUUGUUAAGUUUGAGAUUAAAGCCCGGGGCUUAACCCCGGUUCGUCUCAAAAACUGGCAGACUUGAGUGUAGUAGAGGCAAGUGGAAUUUCUAGUGUAGCGGUUAAAUGCGUAGAUAUUAGAAGGAACACCAGUGGCGAAGGCGGCUUGCUGGGCUAUCACUGACGCUGAGACACGAAAGCGUGGGGAGCAAAUAGG
rnacentral:rRNA from 1 species